CCCCGUUUUACCCCCAAAGGGUUAAGAGCCUUCCAGUGAGCGCAUUGAGGUGCCACGACUCAAUUUUGGGGGUUAAUCCUGGAGGCUGUGGAAAUGUCUGAGUAACCAGUCCUCGGGUCGCCGAACCUUCAAAAAUUAGGCUCUCCUCAUGCCUGGGAUUUUAAAAACCCCUUUUCAAGGGGCCCUCCUGUCUGUGUGGACCUCCCCUCUUUGGACAUUGGCUUCCCUCUGCAGUACGGGGUGGGGGGCGCCCGCCAGAUAAGACAGUUGCCAUGACGGCCCCGUGUUUCGGUUUCCUUGGAAACCGGCCGAGGGUUCCGCGUGCCGGAAAGGAGGCUGUGGGGGUGGGGCGCGCGGCCACGCUCGGCUGCCGCGGAGACGGAGUCCAAAUGGAGCCGUUGGGGAGUGGGAGGGACUUAGGGCUCCCUGCCUGGCGGGGGCGGUGGCAGCUUGCGGUCCCCCUAUCGGCGCGCUUCGACAGCUGGGGGGUCGGGCAGCAUUAAGGUUCCUGUGGGAAGGGUAGCAAAGAGGAUCUGACCGAGCUUUGAGCCGGGGCCGGGCGCCACCCCUCCCCCGGCCAGUACUGCGGGGUCACAGCCCUGAGGUACUUUGGACAGCUCUGUGUCUGAUUCUGAGGAUGAAGCAGGGAGCAAAGAAAUAAGCGUGGGUCUGUCUUCAUAGGUUUGGUCUUGGUGGCAGAUUAUAAAUACUGUGCCAUGAGAAUGUAAUAGGGACAGGGAUCAGAGGAUCUGUUUUGAGGAGUGCCGGAGGUUGUUGCUGAGGAAGGGGCA